AUCGCUUUUCGGCCUAUCGGCCAAGAUCAAAUUAAGGAAUACGCAUGUUAAACUAAUUUUUGGAAAACAGGCGGAGAGUUUGGGGCUUGCUCCUACUCCGUCGUGGGUUGUCCUGGUUUAGCACCACCACCGGGAACGGCCUAAUAUCA